CGGAACUUAGCUCAGCUUGGUAGAGCGCUGCGUUCGGGACGCAGAGGUCGCAAGUUCAAAUCUUGUAGUUCCGA
rnacentral:tRNA from 7 species